UAGCGAAGGGGGCUAGCGUUGCUCGGAAUCACUGGGCGUAAAGCGCACGUAGGCGGCUUGUUAAGUCAGGGGUGAAAUCCUGGAGCUCAACUCCCAGAACUGCCUUUGAUACUGGCGAGCUUGAGUUCGGGAGAGGUGAGUGGAACUGCGAGUGUAGAGGUGAAAUUCGUAGAUAUUCGCAAGAACACCAGUGGCGAAGGCGGCUUACUGGUCCGGUUCUGACGCUGAGGCGCGAAAGCGUGGGGAGCAAACAGG
rnacentral:rRNA from 1 species